AUUUUGCUUUUGAAUAACCAAUAUUUAUGCCAAUUUCUUUCUAGUAGUCGUAGUGUUUGGGAACAACCUUCAGGCCACUAGCUGUCCCAAUUGGGAAUGGUUGUGUCCUCACAUUGCAUGAUGAACAUACCAGUAUUGAUAUCCAUGAUUCCAUCUCCUUAGCCAUUACUGUGAUAGAAUCUGGGAAGAAGCUGGUGAGUGGGAGCGUCUAGUUGAGAAGCAUCAGCAGAAAUUGCCAUACACAAUUGAAAUAUUGAGCAGAAAGCAUUGUCAAGAGCUGGAUGUUGCUGAAGGGGCAUUACCCAACAAUUCUACAGUAUGUUCCUCCCAAGGAAAUUGUUGCAGUUGUUCAUUCUGCCUCCUCUAGUUCUGCUAGUGCUUCUAAGAAUUUAAACCAGAAGUGCAUUGUGAAAGAAAACUUGGAGAUGGGGAUGCAAAUUAAAUUCCGGGAUAUUUGCAAGAGUGACCAAGAUAUUAUUGAUCUAUAUUCUAUAAACUUAUCACCUUCAUCCCAUAAAGGGUUACGUGGUUUAUAUAUAUUUUCUGUGGGAUGCAAGUUUGCACACAUGUUUCAGAAAGCUGGUGUUUAUAUAUUUUCAUUUUUUUCUUGCAAGUCAUUUGCUAAAAUUCUUCGCAAACUUUAAGUUUUAGAAUUUAUCAUGACAAACUCGUGUUUGUAGCCAGAUAAUUGAAUACUUAGGUUUCUGUGAUGGAAUUUUACUAUUUUAGAGGGGUGAAUUCUAUGACUUGUGAAAGAAGUGUAGACACUAGGGCAUCAUCUGAGGUUGGCAGAUGGGGGCAAAUAAAUGAUGGAGAGAGUCUACCCUACAAUAUUACCUGGUAAGGCACCUCAUACUUUCUAGGCUUCUUGUAUAUAGAACUCUUUUAUGUACAUUUGUCAAAGUGUGAUCUGCUCACCUAUUGGGAUUGAGGCUUGAUAUUUGUUGUUGUGUCAAAAUGUGCUAUGUCUCACCUAGGUCUGAUAUCUUACUGAUGAAAUUACUUUCCCUUUGUUAUUUGUUUUGAUCCUACAUAGAUGAAAGAACAUGAUCCUACAAGUUGGUGAAUUCAUACGACUGUUAAUAGUUAGUUAUCAUCUCCUGAAGUUGCACACAAGCAUGAUUAUUUCAUAAUAUGACCAAAAUUGAGAACCUUUUGUGUUUAAGGAUGAUAAUUUGCCUUCUAUGGAAUGCAAGGAAGGGAAAUUUACACUUGUAAAUUGUGUUUUCUUGCUGAUACUUAAUAUUUAAAUUGUUGUCUUUUUCCUUGGAAGUUAUUUUUCUACUUCUGUUUUUGCAUUCUAUUUAUUGUUGUUAUAAUUCUUAUUUACCAUGUUUUAAAUGCUACUAGAUAUAUGAAAUUUGCUGUUUAAGAUACUCAGUAUCUGGCUACUACAGGUAAUGUUGCUUUACCUAAAUGAAAUGAAAUAGUUUUUAUUGAAUUGUUAAUUACCAUCUUAUCUAAAAGCUUAACCUGUUAGUUUCUCUUCUAUUCUCAUUCUUAAAGUAAUAAAAAUGGAGCUCUGUUUCGGCCAGAGACAGUUAUAUAUACCUAUAAUAAGGCUCUAUUUCUAAUUUUGCUUUUGGACUUAAGUUUACAACUUGGGAUAACACAAUAGUUUCAAGCUUUACAAUUGUGCCUUGAUUCUUUCAGAGUCAUCUUUGAUUUUUAUUUUCUCUUAAUUUUUCUCCCUGACAAUUAUCAUCUCAGUUAGUCUUGGGAAAUAUUAUUCAUCAAGUGUUCCCAUGAUGAGUGACGAGGAUCAUGCCCGCGAGGAAAGUGAGGAGGAAACAGUACAAAAUAUAUUAAAGCACGAAAAAUCCGCAGCUGACAUUUUGUGCUUGCUGAAAGCUCGUCAUGGCAGUCAGGCAUCUCAUCUUCUGUUGACCAAGGAUGUGCUGGGCAUUGUUGCUACCCUUGGACAAGUGGAAGAUGACAAUCUCAGCAGGUUUGUUAAGGAUUUUGCAGUUGAUCAUGUUUUUUAUUGUUUACUCUGGAAUAUGUAAACUGUUCAUUGCUUCUAAGUUCUUAGUUACGAUUGAUAAUUUCAGAUCUGUUUGCAUGGCUAUUAUAAAGAACUAAUUUUUCAACACCAGUUGUAUAUAGGGUUUACGUUUAUUUCAAGUGUGCUUGGCUGUAAUCAUUGUAGUUGUUACUUAGAUGUAUUGUUAGUUCUCAUGUUAAGGUGGCUCUCUAUGUCUCUGGCUGUAACAUUUCAUGUACUGUGUCAAUUUGUAUGCUGAUUAACUGGU